GGGGGCGAUUAAGGAUCGACAUGCAUAGUAAAGAUGGUAGCUUUGCUCGGUUAGACACCACCGCUAAGAGUUCAUAAUUUAAAUGCAAACGAUAAUUUUGCUGCUGAAGAAUAUCGUGUUGCUGCUUAAUUUAGCACAACCGGUUUAUUACUAAAGCACGGUUUAGGGAACGCCGGGUAACAG
rnacentral:tmRNA from 1 species